UAUGCUGUUAUCCCUAUGGUAACUAAUUCCAUUGAUCAAAACUUCUGGAUCAACACCUGUAAGUYUUAUUAACUAUAAAGAAGCUUUAUCUGUUCCAUAGUCGCCCCAACCAAAAUCUAAAAUAGAUUAAUAUUUAAAAUUAUAUAUURUUUUCAAUUUACUCUUUUAAAGCUCAAUAGGGUCUUCUUGUCUUUCAAUKAUAUCUAGGUUUCCUCACCUAGAAAUCAAAUUCUAAAAAAUUAUAUAGAGACAGUUUUGUUCACG
rnacentral:rRNA from 1 species